rnacentral:rRNA from 1 species
UACGAAGGGUGCAAACGUUGCUCGGAAUUAUUGGGCGUAAAGCGCACGUAGGCGGCUCUGCAAGUCGGAUGUGAAAUCCCUCGGCUCAACCAAGGAAGUGCAUCCGAAACUGCGGAGCUUGAGUACUUAAGAGGAUCGCGGAAUUCUCGGUGUAGCGGUGAAAUGCGUAGAUAUCGAGAGGAACACCUGCGGCGAAGGCGGGUUGCUGGGCUGACACUGACGCUGAGGCGCGAAAGCCAGGGGAGCGAACGGG